UACGGAGGAUGCGAGCGUUAUCCGGAUUCAUUGGGUUUAAAGGGUGCGUAGGCGGACUAAUAAGUCAGUGGUGAAAACCUGCAGCUUAACUGUAGACGUGCCAUUGAUACUGUUGGUCUUGAGUGUGGUCAAGGUAGGCGGAAUGUGUAAUGUAGCGGUGAAAUGCUUAGAUAUUACACAGAACACCGAUUGCGAAGGCAGCUUACUGGGCCAUUACUGACGCUGAUGCACGAAAGCGUGGGGAGCGAACAGG
rnacentral:misc_RNA from 1 species